rnacentral:snoRNA from 1 species
AUGAGCAAAGCAAGCCACCUGUGCUAUUUCCGCCCUGGGAGCCCAGGGUGCAAUGGCUGCAAAUAGGAGCCUUUUCGGUAGUGUAUACAGCCUGUUGCCUGCAUGAGUUGCCCUAAGGAACUUGAAUACGACC